AGCGAACGCUGGCGGCAGGCCUAACACAUGCAAGUCGAGCGGGCACUUUCGGGUGUCCGCGGCGGACGGGUGAGUAACGCGUGGGAACGUGCCCUCUGGUUCGGAAUAACUCAGGGAAACUUGAGCUAAUACCGGAUACGCCCUUUUGGGGAAAGGCUUGCUGCCGGAGGAUCGGCCCGCGUCUGAUUAGCUAGUUGGUGAGGUAACGGCUCACCAAGGCGACGAUCAGUAGCUGGUCUGAGAGGAUGAUCAGCCACACUGGGACUGAGACACGGCCCAGACUCCUACGGGAGGCAGCAGUGGGGAAUAUUGGACAAUGGGCGCAAGCCUGAUCCAGCCAUGCCGCGUGAGUGAUGAAGGCCUUAGGGUUGUAAAGCUCUUUUAUCCGGGACGAUAAUGACGGUACCGGAGGAAUAAGCCCCGGCUAACUUCGUG
rnacentral:rRNA from 1 species